CGCACAGCAAUGGGGUGGAGGAAGAGAAGGGAGAGAGAAGACAAAGGGAGGAGGAGAAAGAAAGGUCACAGGGCUGAGCAAUACACCAUUAGCCUCCCACUUGGACAACCCUCGGUCGCAUACAUUGCGAUCACUGUUGCCUAGGUUACAUCUCAGCAACCUGAAGCCAAUUCUGCCCAAACCCUGACUCUACUGACGCCUACAGAAAUCAGCUGGAUGACUAAAAUCUCUUUCUACUGUCUGUCUGCUCUGUGGCCUGAGGGUGUUGACGUCUUCUGGCAAGCACGCUAGCCUGGUACUUGGUGGGCUAACCCUGAGCCACACUCACUCAGCAACUGCUGGGUUCCAGCUGGCAUUGUCAUACUGCACGGAGUUCUGGCCUCACCACCGAACUCUUAACACCUGAGCUGACAAAAAGCACAGGAAGGAGAAAGAAGAAACACAGACUCACUCCAGUGGGCCGUCUCAAGAAAGCAUUGCUCAGGAGUGGAAGGACCUGGGAAAGAAAGAAACCCAUUGUAUACGCUUAGAAUACCACUCCUAACCCAGAGCAGGCUGAAGUCAGCACUCACAAACACUGGGAUAGAGGUCUCCUUGUACCAGAUUAAGAUUAACCUGUCCCUGCUCAGAGUGACAGUGUCCUGGUUAGUUUGUAAAAACUUUUUCAACAAGAUACACGCUAUUCGGGAGGCUAAGGCAGGAGUAACGUACGUUCAAAGCCUGCUUGGGCUACAUGGCCAGUUUGAGGACCAUCUGGGCAGGUCAGUGAGAGCCUGUCUCAAAAUAAAAGGGGAAGAAAGGGGCUGGAGACCUAACUCUGGCAGAGCCUGACCUAGCAAGUGGGAGUUCACUCUCUAGUGUUACACGGCAGAACAAGCACCACCCAAGGGUGUCAAAGCUGCAUCAAAGUGCAAUAGCAUCGAAAGCAUCAGUCCACAGCAACACUGAGACUGACUGGCUGAAAACCCCUUCUACAUCUACUGCUGUGAUCCCUGGGUGACGUCAACCUUUUCCCCAAGAAAGUAUCAAGUCUUCCCUUUCACUUCUGAUUAAAAUAAAUGACAAAGACAUAUUCAUUAUAAUAAGUGUCUUGAACAAUUUGUCUCUUAAUAAAGAAUCUUCUUGACAGACAUGAUCUGUCUGAGCAAAAAGAAAAAAAGAAAAGAAAA